rnacentral:lncRNA from 1 species
CAACAAGCAAAUAAAACCCCUGUCUGGGUGAUGGUGGUGCAUGCCUUUAACCCCAGCUCUCAGGAGGCAGAGACAGGAGAAUGUCUGUAAGUUUGAUACCAAAGUGAGUUCCAGGACAGCCAGGACUACGUAGAGAAACCCUGACUCAGAAAAAAGAAGCAAACCCAAAAACCUCAGGAAGCCAGGCAUGAUAGUGCAUGCUAUAAUCUCAGCACAUGGGAGGUUGAGGCAGGAGGAUCGCGAUAGUUUCAGAGCCAGUCUGGGCUGUGUAUCGAAACAUCCCCAAAGAACAAAAUCUGGAGAAGGGGCAGGGGGAGACACGGGAUAAGUAAUUCUGUGGAGUUUUACAGGGUUGAAAUGCUGAUUCUAGGAAAGGUUACAUCACUUUGGUAGUAUCAAAGUUACGUCAAGCUGCUACCUUCAAGAGUUCCGAUUUCCAGCCUUUGCAUAACUGUAGCAGUCACUUAUGCUGUGUGUUUUACAGCAUUUAAGAUAGUAGAAGUAGCAUUGGAAAGGAAAUGUACUUUCAUGGGUGAUAUUUAAAGUUUUAAAAUAUAUAGGGAUAAAAUUGAUAAAUAGGCUAUUCCCACCCAUUCCUCCAUCCCCCCAACUCCGGGAGCUGAGGACCGAGCCCAGGGCCUUGCACUGAGCUAAAUCCCCAACCCCCAGGCUAUCCAUUUUAAAGCAAAGAAUUUCACCUGACUUAUAAUGCUACUUUUUAAAACCCUAAAUGUGUUGUUUGUUGCCAGUGGCGGAAGAAGGGGCUGGCCUUACUCUUCUGCAUAUUGCAGUUCUUGUCAAUGACCUGGUAAGUCUCUUCUUGUACCAGUUAGAGAAUGGAGACUGUCUAGGGUGUUAGAAGCAUCAUUUAGAUUCUGGAGAGCCCUAGAAAGGGGGGUAGAGGCCUAUUCCUGGAGCCAGAUUCCUGCAGAGUCAGAGUGAGGCCCAUUCUGAGCAGUGCCUCCUGGUAGUAGAAAGAGAGAGCUGUGGUGUCAGGGUGCACUGGCUAUGGGGGCAGGCUACUGUGGGAAGAGAACCGAUCAGAAAUGUAGACAAACCCACCUGGAUUCCCACAAGAGGAAGCUCACACGGUGCACCCAUGGGUGUCAGCUGCCCCUAGGGAUUCCACCCGCUGUUGCUGUGUGCCUUCUUUCUAGUGCCACAUCCUCCUCACAGCCCCAUGUGACUCAUUCUGCCUCCACUCACCUGCCUGGAAAGCCCCAGCCAGCCACUCCUUCCCCUGCUUCCCCUCAGACUACAGAGCAAAUUCCUUGCCUUUCUCAAUUUUAUUGUUUUGUGUCUUUCCCAUUGACUGUCACCCAGCUGGGCUUGGCUCUUCUGGCUGUUUCUACCUUCCCCCGACACAUACAUCAGUGUGUUUCAGACUCACCCUGAAAGGUGACUUGACUUUUUCAUUGAAAUGGGAAUGUAGGCUGACUCACAUUUC